GUCAGCUCACACGUUGGCAGUAAAAAAGCUAAAGAAACAUGGAUGCUGGUGCCUCCCAACUCAUCUUUCAGAAAGACACUCCAUGCAGCACAGUGGAAUCAUGUACCAUUACGGUGACGGAGAUUUAAAGAGAAGUUUGGAGCAGGAAGAAUCAUCCCGGCUGCAGGUCCAACUMGCUGGAGUUCCAUCUACAAUCAAAUGAAAGCCUUAAUAAAAACUGAGGGGUUGGAUUCUGAAGGUCUGGCAGAGGUAUGCAACACCAAGAGCUUCCUCACCUCCUGCUCAGCCAGCAUGAGCUGGAACAGCUGACAGAGCUGUGCAGGGUUCUGGCACUGCUGAAAGACUGCUCUUUCACAAGGGGGAUCAGAGCAUCACAGUAGCCACAUUGUGUCUGCUGUGCUCGACCUCAGACACUUGAAGGGAAUCCUCAUUCGAUGGCCAAGUGGUGGAACUCAUCAGGGGUGCAGCUUUCACGCUAAAAAUUCUCCUCUCUGCGUGAGCAGAAAUGAUUUCUAGACGCAGGGAAAUGAUACAUUAAAUGGAGAAUGCAUGAGAAAAAUGUCUAAGUAAGUAGUAAAAAUUGUCACAUGAAAAGGACUUGUGAUUAUUUGGGUGUGGUCCCUACAUAAUUACCUACAAGCAGAAAUCAGCCAGAAAUAAACAAAGU